GCAGAAAAUAUCAACCAAAGUCUUGAUGAGGCUUGGAAGGAGCUUCAAGAGUACUUGAUUCAAACUGAAGACAGUGGGCUACUAAGAAAAAGAAUUGCUAAUUUUGUAAUCAGGUUGUUGAAGUACCAAAUGUCAGUUGGGAUGAUAUUGGUGGGCUGGAAAAUGUCAAGAGGGAA